AUUGAACGCUGGCGGAAUGCUUUACACAUGCAAGUCGAACGGUAGAGGGGGCAACCCCUUGAGAGUGGCGAACGGGUGAGUAAUAUAUCGGAACGUGCCCAGUCGUGGGGAUAACGUAGCGAAAGUUACGCUAAUACCGCAUACGAUCUAAGGAUGAAAGCGGGGGAUCGCAAGACCUCGCGCGAUUGGAGCGGCCGAUAUCAGAUUAGGUAGUUGGUGAGGUAAAGGCUCACCAAGCCAACGAUCUGUAGCUGGUCUGAGAGGACGACCAGCCACACUGGAACUGAGACACGGUCCAGACUCCUACGGGAGGCAGCAGUGGGGAAUUUUGGACAAUGGACGCAAGUCUGAUCCAGCCAUUCCGCGUGCAGGAUGAAGGCCCUCGGGUUGUAAACUGCUUUUGUACGGAACGAAAAGGUUUGUCUUAAUACGAUGAGCUCAUGACGGUACCGUAAGAAUAAGCACCGGCUAACUACGUGCCAG
rnacentral:rRNA from 1 species